rnacentral:lncRNA from 1 species
CCUCAUGUCUCCAUCAUCAACUCGCCCAUUCUUGUGCCAUUUCAUAUCAUUGGCAGUAUGCAUUAACAUGUAUAGUCGCUGUAAUCUUGGCUUUAUUGGAAAAUAACUCAAUACUUUUUGAGGAAUCUUAUUCUUAUCUUCAGAACUAUUCUGAUAUAUUAGCUCAUUACAAAUGGGGCACUUAUCUAACCCUUCAUUUUCCUUGUAAAAUAGUGCACAAUCAUAUUUACAUGCAUGGAUUUUUUCCUAGCCCAGUCCGAGAUCUUUUAAAAUUUUAU